AGUGAACGCUGGCGGUAGGCCUAACACCUGCAAGUCGAACGGCAGUACAGUAAGAGCUUGCUCUUCUGGGUGGCGAGUGGCGGACGGGUGCGGAAUACAUUGGACUCUACUUUUACGUGGGGGACACCGUCGGGAAACUUACGCUAAUACAGCAUACGUCCAACGGGUGAAAGCAGGGGGUCUUCGGACUUUGCGCGAUUGAUUGAGCCGGUGUCGGAUUAGCUAGUUGGCGGGGUAAAGGCCAACCAAGGCGACGAUCCGUAGCUGGUCGGAGAUGAGAAUCAGCCACACGGGAACUGAGACACGCUCCAGACUCCAGCGGGGGGGAGCAGUGGGGAAUAGGGGACAAUGGGCGCAGACCUGAUCCAGCCAUACCGCGUAGGUGAAGAAGGCCUUCGGGUUGUAAAGCCCUUUUGUUGGGAAAGAAAAGCAGCAGGUUAAUACCCCGCUGUGCUGACGGUACCCAAAGAAAAAGCACCGGCUAACUUCGUG
rnacentral:rRNA from 1 species